CCUACGGGAGGCAGCAGUGGGGAAUAUUGCGCAAUGGGGGAAACCCUGAUGCAGCGACGCCGCGUGAGUGAAGAAGUAAUUCGUUAUGUAACGCUCUAUCAGCAGGGAAGAAAAUGACGGUACCUGAGUAAGAAGCCCCGGCUAACUACGUGCCAGCAGCCGCGGUAAUACGUAGGGGGCAAGCGUUAUCCGGAUUUACUGGGUGUAAAGGGCGCGUAGACGGAAGUGCAAGUCUGGAGUGAAAGGCGGGGGCUCAACACCCGGACUGCGCUGGAAACUGUACGGGUGGAGGGCAGGAGAGGUAAGUGGAAUUCCUAGUGUAGCGGUGAAAUGCGUAGAUAUUAGGAGGAACACCAGUGGCGAAGGCGGCUUACUGGACUGUAACUGACGGUGAGGCUCGAAAGCGUGGGGAGCAAACAGGAUUAGAUACCCCUGUAGUC
rnacentral:rRNA from 1 species